UACGUAGGACGCAAGCGUCGUCCGGAAUUACUGGGCGUAAAGCGCACGUAGGCGGAUCAGUUAGUCGGGGGUGAAAUCCCGGGGCUCAACCCCGGAACUGCCUUCGAUACUGCUGGUCUGGAGUCCGAGAGAGGUGAGUGGAAUUCCGAGUGUAGAGGUGAAAUUCGUAGAUAUUGGGAAGAACACCAGUGGCGAAGGCGGCCAUCUGGCUCGGUACUGACGCUGAGGCGCGAAAGCGUGGGGAGCAAACAGG
rnacentral:rRNA from 1 species